GUCACCUCGGAGAAAUAUUUACUAAAAUUGGAACGAUACAGAGAAGAUUAGCAUGGCCCCUGUGCAAGGAUGACGCUCAAAAUCGAAAAGCACUUAAACUUCUC
rnacentral:snRNA from 1 species